AAAAAGUCGGCCAUGGCAACGACUCCACGUGCUCCAUUCAUCAAACUUUCAAACAUACAAUAGGCAUCAUGCUCCAUAAAUCUUUCUGAGAUGAUAAUUCCCAACUCGCCUUCCGCCCCAUAAGCAUCACUUAACAAAUACAUAUCCCUCGUGCCUGAAUCUAGCUCAUCCAGGCUGCCUAAUGCUUUGCUUUCCUGAAAGCCCUCAUCGUCGGUACCUGCAUCAGUG
rnacentral:misc_RNA from 1 species